GAUAAUCGAGGUAGCAAAUGUGAUCAAGUGAUACCUCUUAUUUAAGGCAUAUCACCUGAUCACAUUUGCUACCUCGAUUAUCCA